rnacentral:tRNA from 1 species
CACGGACAUGGCGCAGGAGCGCGGGCACCGACAUCGCCUCGUCAUAGUGGCCUUCGAUGCUGGCGGGCGAUCCUUCGCCGGUUCGGGC